rnacentral:rRNA from 1 species
CCUACGGGUGGCAGCAGUGAGGAAUAUUGGUCAAUGGACGCAAGUCUGAACCAGCCAUGCCGCGUGCAGGAAGACGGCUCUAUGAGUUGUAAACUGCUUUUGCACGAGGGUAAACGCAGAUACGCGUAUCUGUCUGAAAUGAUGGUACGAAUAAGGAAAGGCUCACCUCGUGCCAGCAGCCGCGGGAAAACGGAGGAGUCAAGCGUUAUCUGGAUUUAUUGGGCUUAAAGGGUGACGAGGCGGGCGGAUAAGUUAGAGGUGAAAUCCCGAGGCUCAAAUUCGGAAUUGCCUCUGAUACUGGUCGGCUAGAGAGUAGUUGCGGUAGGCGGAAUGUAUGGUGUAGCGGUGAAAUGCUUAGAGAUCAUACAGAACACCGAUUGCGAAGGCAGCUUACCAAGCUACUUCUGACGUUGAGGCACGAAAGCGUGGGGAGCAAACAGGAUUAGAUACCCCGGUAGUC